rnacentral:rRNA from 1 species
UACGAAGGGGGCUAGCGUUGUUCGGAAUCACUGGGCGUAAAGCGCACGCAGGCGGAUCGUUAAGUCAGGGGUGAAAUGCCGAGGCUCAACCUCGGAACUGCCUUUGAUACUGGCGAUCUUAGAGUCCGGGAGAGGUGAGUGGGACUCCGAGUGUAGAGGUGAAAUUCGUAGAUAUUCGCAAGAACACCAGUGGCGAAGGCGGCUCACUGGCCCGGUACUGACGCUGAGGUGCGAAAGCGUGGGGAGCAAACAGG